GGUAUAAUUUGCAUACCCCAACGAAUAUAUAUCUCGUCAUCGUUCUGCUAGAAAAUUUAGAUCUGCAAUCUUUCGUUUCUCGUUUUGUUCAAUCGACUUGCUAUGGCGAUAGAUCUGUCGACGAUCUACGGUUUAGUGCGAUUUUGCUUGUGUUCUUAUGGAUCGAGUAUGUUUUCCAUGAAACCGAUGGAAUCGAUACGAGUUGCUGAUUUAUGUCUUUGAUGUACUUUGAUCGACAGAGUUUGAUUUGUUCAGCCGAUGGAAUCGAUACUAGUUGUUGAUUUAUGCCGUUGAUUUACCUUUGAUCACCAGAGGUUGAUUUUUGGUCAACAUGGAUCUGUUGAUCAACGUCUCAGAUCUACAGUUUAUGCUUUUGCUAGAGCUAAUUAGAAGGUUCAUUGGCGAUUGGUGGUCCACGAUGCUUCUCAUGAUUCGGUUGGAUUAUUUUUAAUCCCUUGAUUUCGGAUCAUCCGAAUCCUUGAUACUUGUUAUUCUAUUGAACAAGUUCGAUUUGUAUCGCGGAACUUGAAUUUGAUCCAGUGAUCGGAACUUGAAGUAUGGAGAUUGACAUCCAGGUUGGUAUGUAGAGGUAGUAAUAUGUCUUGUUUUGAUUAGGGGAUCAUGUAUGUCCUAAUUAUAUCCUGUUAUUCGGCCUUUGCCAUGAUGGGUGCGCUCGCAUGGCAGGCAACUAUCCUAAUAAAAAUGAGUUUUUGUUUUUGAGGGGAGGUCGCACGGGGGUUUGCCCGGGAUCUCUCCUCUGGUGUGCGUCUCUCCUCUCUCUCUCUCUCUUGGUGUGUGUAUGUUUAUGUUUACCUCGAUACCGGUGCUCAGUUCCUCCCACUACAAUUCGAAUUCAAACAGCGCAACAACAAUUAUCCAGUGAACAACAUUUAUAUAAUGUUUAGCAGAUGAUUAUCACCAAAGGUACUUCCAAUUUAAUUGCUUUUCAUUUUUUCAGAAAUCAAUAGUCGUUAAUUCCGUCUCUUUUGCAAAAAAAUUUAAGCAUAUUAAUAAUAUAAUUUGGGUCUAUUCUAUAUAUUUAUAGAUAGCUCAUGACCUAUUACUUAAAAUAUAGUUCCACCUUAUAAUUGGGUUUUGGUUCAAAUGAUUUUAAUGAUUUUAGGCUACACAUCAUUUUCACAAUUGAUUUGCGUUAUUUGGAGGCUAUUUUCUUUAAUCGACCUCAUGCCUCCGCAUUAAUCCAAUAGUCGCAUUAAUCCAUAGUCGCAUGACGGGAACAUUAGAUAUCGAAAAAAAUUAUGGGCACGACUGAGAUUUUAUCCUAAAAUAUCCAUCCGAUAUAGGCAAAGUAGUCUUAAAAGAGCCUUCGUACAAAUCUUUGGGAUGUCGCCAAUGCAUUUUAAUUUGUUAAUAACCAAAAAAAAUGUCAACAUUUGUUAUAAGUAUGUUUGAUCCUUAGUGAAAUCAUAUUAUUAUUCGUUAUUAAAUUUGGUUAUUUAUUCAUAAUUUGAGUUGUGUAUGGCUUUGACUUGUGGAUUUAUUAUCUUUUUAACAUUUUAAUGUAAUCAUAUACUGGAUGCUGAAAAUUUGUUUGUAGCAGUGCCAUCUGUGGGCUGAACUUGUAUCGUUUGUUGAAUUGAAUCAAUGUACGUUUUGUUCUACUAUUCCUCUUUUGUGAGGCUUUUGGUUAGAACACAAUGUAAAAAAUUCAGAUGAUGUCGUUGUGGACUCUACUUGUGGAUGUUUGAAGACUGUGAUUAAAGCUCUCUGGAUUUCCAAGUUAUGUGCUGUUGUUAUUUGUAACUCACUUUUUGAUGCUGUGCUGGGUUCAUUUCUACAAUUUGUUUCCUGGUUCUCACAUGUCUAUCUUUUCAUGGUUCGAAGGAAGCAAAGUGCGUUAAUAAAAAAGUGCAACAAAGACUUGAUUGGAGAUCAACUGGGCUGAUAUCAGUUUGAUGCUUUUCCAGUAUUGAAAUUGUUGACCAAAUCUUUGUGAUUCAGUUGCUGCUAAGUAAAAACAUUGAAAGUUUUGUUGAUCCGUCCUUUCCAACAGACAAUUUUCAUCGGAGUUACUAAAUUUAUUAAGCCUGUGUGUAAGAGAAGCAAAUUUGGUCAUAUGAUUCUUGGAUGUUUGCAUUAAGUUUUUAAACAGUCUGUUAGGUGUAGGUUCCUAAAACUAAUGGAGCAAGGUAAGGUUGCUUUCUAUUUGAGGUGCCAUGCAGUAAUUUUCUUUAAAAAGUUUAAAAUAUAAAAGUUUUCA